AACGAACGCUGGCGGCAUGCCUAACACAUGCAAGUCGAACGAGAUCUUCGGGUCUAGUGGCGCACGGGUGCGUAACGCGUGGGAAUCUGCCCUUUGGUUCGGAAUAACAGUUGGAAACGACUGCUUAUACCGGAUGAUGACGAAAGUCCAAAGAUUUAUCGCCAGGGGAUGAGCCCGCGUAGGACUAGCUAGUUGGGUUGGUAAAGGCGCACCAAGGCGACGAUCCUUAGCUGGUCUGAGAGGAGCAUCAGCCACACUGGGACUGAGACAAGGCACAGACUGCUACGGGGGGCAGCAGUGGGGAAUAUUGGACAAUGGGCGACAGCCUGAUCCCGCAAUGCCGCGUAAGUGAUGAAGUCCUUAGGGUUGUAAAGCUCUUGUACCCGGGAUGAUAAUGACAGUACCGGGAGAAGAAGCUCCGGCUAACUCCGUGCCAGCCGCCGCUGUAA
rnacentral:rRNA from 1 species